rnacentral:rRNA from 1 species
UACGUAGGUGGCAAGCGUUGUCCGGAAUUAUUGGGCGUAAAGCGCGCGCAGGCGGUUUCUUAAGUCUGAUGUGAAAGCCCACGGCUUAACCGUGGAAGGUCAUUGGAAACUGGGAGACUUGAGUGUAGAAGAGAAGAGCGGAAUUCCACGUGUAGCGGUGAAAUGCGUAGAGAUGUGGAGGAACACCAGUGGCGAAGGCGGCUCUUUGGUCUGUAACUGACGCUGAGGCGCGAAAGCGUGGGGAUCAAACAGG